UAUUGUUUAUACAGUUGUAGGUUCAAGCAGUACCUACAAUGAGUGUUAAGUUACUUGCUUUCUAAAAUAAAUACAGAAAUCCUGAACAAUCCUUAGUUUUUAAAACAAUUUUUUCAGUACAUAAUCAAAAAUGCAGAAAAGAUGACACAGACUUCACAAGUAAAUGGCCAUCAUUGUUUUGAAUUGUGUCCGUCUGUUGUGUAAUUGUCAACACUAAAAAUUUUCCAUAUCAUUCAAUAACAAAAUCAUUAGCAUAUUAUUACCUUGAACAGAAAUAGUUUGUCCAAAAUUAUCAAUGUUAGAGUCUAUAAUCCAUACAUAUGUCUUUUCCUUGUGCCUUUGACCUUAGCUCAGUCUUUCAGGACAUCUUUCUAUUCCCUUUCGUCUCAUUAACUCAUCUACUUUCGUUUGUUUUUAGAGCAUCCAAACUAUUUGUCACAGCCAUUUCAGAGUCGCACAUUCUGGCCAUCCUCUGUCAAAGAAAAUUACAUGGCAAGGCAAGGCUCAACCUGAUAAACCUUUCCUGAUACAAGGAUGACCUAAACUGAGGGAGUAGACAGAUCGGAAAUCAACUGCAGACAUCUUUUCUCCAUAGAAUUUCAUGGAGGACGUAAAGAAUUCCUGCACAAUAGAAAAAAGGUUCCACCUUCAUCCUAGGAAAAGGACCAAAACUUCAGUUCAGGAAGGAACAGUUUCAUCUGAGCAUCUGAGUUGUCUGCUGGUUUGUGAAGUCUCCAAGCCAUGAGAUUUUGUACAGAAGGGUUCAAGUUUCGGCCAUCAGAACUGGAAAGAAGUGUAAAACUGUCCCAGAGGGAGAACCAGAAAGAGCCAGUCAAGGAAAGAAAUUAAAGCAAUGGGAUAAGACUGAUAGUUCUCUGGGAUGAGUAUCCGAAAAGGAUAUUUCUGGCGAAGAAGACUGAAACUUUACUGUUAUUUUAACUGCUUUCUAAACCAAUUAUAAAACAUUGUUUGUUAUUAUUUCUUUUAUGUAAUAAAGUUGUAUUCUUGUGUUAAAUCACAUUGGCAGCCUCAAGAUAAUGUGUUGUGCUUAGUCAUUGAACACAAUUGCAAAAACAAUAAACUUACUACCUGUCAAGCCAGA